CGAAGGGUGCAAGCGUUAAUCGGAAUUACUGGGCGUAAAGGGUGCGUAGGCGGUUGGUUAAGUCUGGCGUGAAAUCCCCGGGCUCAACCUGGGAAUGGCGAUGGAUACUGGGCAGCUAGAGUGUGUCAGAGGAUGGUGGAAUUCCCGGUGUAGCGGUGAAAUGCGUAGAGAUCGGGAGGAACAUCAGUGGCGAAGGCGGCCAUCUGGGACAACACUGACGCUGAAGCACGAAAGCGUGGGGAGCAAACAGG
rnacentral:rRNA from 1 species